GAUGAACGCUGGCGGCGUGCCUAAUACAUGCAAGUCGAGCGAACAGACGAGGAGCUUGCUCCUCUGACGUUAGCGGCGGACGGGUGAGUAACACGUGGAUAACCUACCUAUAAGACUGGGAUAACUUCGGGAAACCGGAGCUAAUACCGGAUAAUAUAUUGAACCGCAUGGUUCAAUAGUGAAAGACGGUUUUGCUGUCACUACUAGAUGGAUCCGCGCCGCAUUAGCUAGUUGGUAAGGUAACGGCUUACCAAGGCGACGAUGCGUAGCCGACCUGAGAGGGUGAUCGGCCACACUGGAACUGAGACACGGUCCAGACUCCUACGGGAGGCAGCAGUAGGGAAUCUUCCGCAAUGGGCGAAAGCCUGACGGAGCAACGCCGCGUGAGUGAUGAAGGUCUUCGGAUCGUAAAACUCUGUUAUUAGGGAAGAACAAAUGUGUAAGUAACUAUGCACGUCUUGACGGUACCUAAUCAGAAAGCCACGGCUAACUACGUG
rnacentral:rRNA from 1 species